AUUGAACGCUGGCGGCAGGCCUAACACAUGCAAGUCGAGCGGAGCGGCGGACGGGUGAGUAAUGCCUAGGAAUCUGCCUGGUAGUGGGGGAUAACGUCCGGAAACGGGCGCUAAUACCGCAUACUAUCAGAUGAGCCUCGGUCGGAUUAGCUAGUUGGUGGGGUAAAGGCCUACCAAGGCGACGAUCCGUAACUGGUCUGAGAGGAGGAUCAGUCACCCUGGAACUGAGAAACGGUCCAGAAUCCUCCCAUAACCACCAUUAUAUAAUAUUAUGCAAUGAACGAAAGCCUGAUCCAGCCAGGCCGCGUGUGUGAAGAAAAUCUUCGGAUUUUAACGCACUUUAAGUUGGGAGGCGUUACCAACAGAAUAAGCACCGGCUAACUUCGGGCCAGCAGCCGCGGUAAUUC
rnacentral:rRNA from 1 species